AUACGGAGGAUCCAAGCGUUAUCCGGAUUUAUUGGGUUUAAAGGGUGCGUAGGCGGACUGGUAAGUCAGCUGUGAAAGUUUGCGGCUUAACCGUAAAAUUGCAGUUGAUACUGUCAGCCUUGAGUGUGCAUGAGGUGGGCGGAAUUUGUGGUGUAGCGGUGAAAUGCUUAGAUAUCACGAGGAACUCCAAUUGCGAAGGCAGCUCACUGGGGCAUAACUGACGCUGAUGCACGAAGGUGUGGGUAUCAAACAGGAUUAGAUACCCUGGUAGUCCACACAGUAAACUAUGAAUACUCGCUGUUUGCGAUAUACAGUAAGCGGCCAAGCGAAAGCAUUAAGUAUUCCACCUGGGGAGUACGCCGGCAACGGUGAAACUCAAAGGAAUUGACGGGG
rnacentral:rRNA from 1 species